AAUCAGGAGCGCCGGCGGGAGGCGGGUCCGCUCCGAACCGCGGGACCUUCCGUUCUGGCUCCGCCAUCUUUGAGACUCUGUGGGCUCCCGAGGUUGCUCUUCCUGUUUGGCCUUGUGACCUCCUUUGACUUCGGCAGCCGUGAGGUGGACAGCAGGACACCCAGAAGCAGGGAGAUGGAGUUGGUGACCUUUGAGGAUGUGGCAGUGAACUUCACCGUGGAUGAGUGGGCUUUGCUGGAUCCCUCCCAGAAGAAGCUCUACCAAGAUGUGAUGCAGGAAACCUUCAGGUGUCUGGCCUCUCUAGGAAAAGAAAGAGACAGCCAGACCAAUGAGGAUGCAUACAAAAAUCCUGGGAAAAAUCUAAGAAGUCAAGUAUUAGGGACACUCUGUGAAGGUAGUGAACAUGGAGACAUCUUCAGCCAAACUCCACAUUAUAUUGAGAACAAUACAACUCUUCCUGGCGCAAAACCAGGUGAAAGCUUUGUGUGUGGAGAAGUCCUCAUUGACAAUUCAUCACCAGAUGUGCUUUUCAGAUCUCAAACUGGACAUAAACCAUAUGAAUAUCAGCAAUAUGAGAAGUCUGUUGUUUAUUACCAGUGCUUGCAGGAGCAUGGAAAGACUCAAACGGGAGUGGAACAACAUGAACAUACGCAGGGUGGGACAAUCUUAACUUGUCCUGGUUCCCUUCCAAUACAUGAAAGGAUUGACACUGGAGAGAAACCAUAUAUAUGUUCACCGUGUGGUAUAGCCUUCAAUAAUCACAGUACUCUUCGAUACCAUGAAAGGGUUCACAGUGGCAGAAAACCCUAUGGAUGUCAGCAGUGUGGGAAAACCUUUAGUUGUUUCAGUAGUUUGGGAAGACAUGAGCAAAAUCACAAUGGAAAGAAACCCCAUGGAUGUAAGCAAUGUGAAAAAGCCUUUUUUUCUUUGAGUCACCUGCGAAGACAUGAACAAACUCACAAUGGACAGAAACCUUAUGUAUGUGAGCAGUGUGGGAAAGCCUUUCAUUUUCCCUGUUCCCUCAGAAAACAUGGAAGAACUCACACUGGAGAAAAACCCUAUGUAUGUAUAGAUUGUGGGAAAGCCUUCAGUGACUCUAGUUCCUUUUAUAGACAUAAAAGAACUCACACUGGAGAGAAACCCUAUGUAUGUGAACCAUGUGGAAAAGCAUUCAGUUGUUUCAGUACCCUUAAAGUACAUGAAAGAAGUCACACUGGAGAGAAGCCCUAUGUAUGUGAACAAUGUGGAAAAUCACUCAGUUGUCUCAGUUCCCUUAAAUUACAUGAAACAAUUCAUACUGGACAGAAGCCCUAUGUAUGUAAGCAGUGUGGGAAAGCCUUUAGUUAUUUGAGUUCCUUUCGAACCCAUGGAAGAACUCACAAUGGAGAGAAACCAUAUGUAUGUAUGCAUUGUGGUAGAGCCUUUAGUUAUUCUUUUUCCCUUAAAUAUCAUGAAAAAACUCAUACUAGAGAGAAGCCCUCUGUAUGCAAGGAGUUUGGAAGAACCUUUAGUUCUUUCUGUUACAUUAAAAUAUGUGAAGGCAUACACAAUGGAGAAAAAUCCUAUAUAUGUAAAGAAUGUGGAAAAGCAUUCAGUCAAACCAGUCAUAUCAUCAGACAUCAAAGAACUCACACUGGAGAGAAACCCUAUGUUUGUAAGCAAUGUGGAAAAGCUUUCAGUGACUCUAGUUCCUGUCACAGGCAUAAAAGAACUCAUACUGGAGAGAAACCUUAUAUAUGUGAACAAUGUGGAAAAGCAUUCACUUGUUUCAGUUCCCUUAAAUUACAUGAAAGAAUUCACACUGGAGAAAAACCAUAUGCCUGUGAACAAUGUGGAAAAGCAUUCAGUUGUUUCAGUUCCCUUAAAUUACACGAAAGAACUCACACUGGAGAAAAACCCUAUGUAUGUCAGCAAUGUGGAAAAUCCUUUGGUUAUUCUGGUUCCUUUCGGGACCAUGCAAAAAUUCACAGUGGGCUAAAACCCUAUGUCUGUAAACAGUGUGGGAAAGCUUUUAGUUACUCUAGUUCCUUUCGAAAACAUGAAAGAACUCACACUGGAGAGAAGCCCUAUGUUUGCAUGCAAUGUGGGAAAGCCUUUAGUUCUUCCUUUUCCCUUCAAAAUCAUGAAAGAACUCACACUAGAGAGAAACCUUCUAUACGCAAGGAGUAUAGAAAAGCCUUUAGUUCUUCCCGUUACAUUAAAAGACGUGAAAGAACUCAUACUGGAGAGAAACCCUAUAUAUGCAAGGAAUGUGGAAAAGCAUUCAGUCGAUCCAGUCACGUUCUCAGACAUCAAAGAACUCACACUGGAGAGAAACCCUAUGUAUGUAAGCAAUGUGGAAAAGCCUUUAGUUCUUCUAGUUAUAUUAAAAUACAUGAAAAAACACAUACUGGAGAAAAAUCCCACGUAUACAAGCAGUGUGGGAAAGCUUUCGUUCAGUCCAACUAUGUUCUCAUAGAUGAAAGAACUCAAGGGAAAGUAGCGCUGACCAAAGACUGUGGUAAGACUUCUUUCUUGAACUUUAUGUCAAAUGUGAACAGUGGAGAGAACUUGUAUUAAUGUUAAGUAUGUGGGGAUGCCUGCAGUCAUUUUGUUCAGUAUAUACAUAUAAAUGAACAUAGAAGAGAUGUGCAAAAGCCUUCAGUUGACCCAUGUGUAAGUAUUUGCACUGAGCAAAAAGGCUGUGAAUGUGAAAAAUACAAGAAAGUUGUCAUUUAACAGAAAAAGUUUCACUGUCCUCUAAAAAGGCCUCUGGACUGGAAUUCUAAAGGUGUGAUUACUGUGAAGACCUUGAUGCAAAAUAAUUUUGAGUAGAAUGCUUCAGAAAAUGCACCACCUGAAGGAAAUGUACUAGUCAUGAAUUGAUUGUGCUCAUCAGUGGCUUUUUUGGGAGAGGGAAGCAUCUUGUCUUUUACAUGUAGUGUUUAUUUUCCCAAAUGAAUGCAAGCUGUGAAGGGCAUGGACAUAUUUUAUAAAUAUUUCUGCCACCCUCAGUUCCAAAGCCUCAGGGGAGUGCUUGCUUUUGGAGGGAUAAAAGAACCAGCCCUGGGACUCCAGUCUGAGUCAUCUCUGCCUCUGAUGACUGCAGGACCCAAUAAUUCUAUUAACUUCCUUGGGCCUCACAUGAAAUAGAGUACAGAGGCCUCAUACUUUAUAGGUAAGUGCUAUACCACUGAGUCAUAUCCCCAGACCUGUUUCAUUUUGGAAUAUGUCCAAGUUGUCGAGGCUCAGCCUUCCAUGUAGUUGGACCUUCAGGUGUGUACCACUGGCUCAGCUAAAACUUUUUAUUGGGGCCAUGCAAGAGUUCUUACCUGUCAGGCAACUGCAUUAUGUUCCUUCUCAACUGUAGUUAUGGGGGUAGGUGUAGAUUCUGCUAGCACCAGGCUUGGAUCCCACUGAUAUCAGACCUCCUUUUCAACACAGAUAUCUUGUUAGCUUGUAAUUGAGCAAAAAGAUAUCCAUACAACCCCAGAUUGAUAACACCUUUGAGCCAGCUCCAAGUAGUUUCUCAUGCAGGUGCACCGAGAGUCAAUGUAACCUCUACUUUACCUUGUUGCUUAUUAUGGCUCAUUACCAUAUGUAAUCCCUCUCCCUUUAGCUGAAUAAUUAUAUGCUAAUGAGUUGAGUGGAGUUCCAUGAAGUUACCUCCCUAUUCCAAAUAGUCAACCCCUGAUGUUACUAUCAGUUCUAAACAACCACAGCCCUUCUAACACUGGAGCUGCUCAGCUUUCGGGUAUGUCUGCAUGCUGUUCCUAGUAUGUGUACCUUCCCUUUGCAACAAAACAGUUGUUCUUUUGCUAUAACCUGACGUGUCCUUAAAUUCUUUUUAGUGGUUGGGCAUGCCUGUAAUCCUAGUAGCUCAAGAGGCUGAGUCAGAAAGAUCACAUGUUCGAGACCAGCUCCAGCAUCUUGGUCCCUAAACAACUUUAGGAGACCCUAUCACAAAAAAUACAAAAGGAUUAGGGAUGUAGCUCAGUGAUUAAAUGCCCCUGGAUUCAUUCCCCAAUAUAAAGACAUAAAUAAAAUUAUAUUUGAUGGCAUAGUCAGGAACCUAGAAAGAUUUCAGUGGAGGUCUGCUCUGUCUGGACAACUCUGCAAACCCCUAACUGGUGACAGUUUUCCUUCCUUGGCAAGCCAACAGGUAGUAAAUUGAAGGCAACAGCACAAACUGGUGAGUGGCCAACUUUUUUCUAGCAUAUUCUAUUUAGUCUGCUAUCCCUUCACUAGAUAAAUUUUCUGCCCCCCCCCCCUUGCCUGUUUUGUUUCCUCUUAAAUCAUUGUAGCCUUGCCUCUUCUAGUUUGGAACGUCUGUGAGUGCCUGAUUGUAAGCAAUCAUUCCUUCCAGCUCAACAGGGAGAACAUGUGAGGGGAAACACCCUGCAUCUGCAGCACCCUCUCAGGGAAGCCCCAAAGGAACACUUCAUUUCUGGGUGUGAGGAACAUCCCUGGCUCAUGUGGGACGAUACACACAGGUUGAUCACCAGUGUCUUGAGGGACAGAAGACGUGUCCAUUAAAUCAGGUUUGUUUUGUUUUGUUUUGUUUUGAGGUGUAGAUGGACACAACACAAUGCCUUUAUUUUUGUGUGAUGCUGAGGAUUGAACUGGGUCCCACUCGUGCUAGGCGAGCGCCCUACUGCUGAGCCACAAUCCCAGCCCCUAAAUUAGUUUGUUGUUGUUUGUUUGUUUUUUAAGGCAUCUAGAGAAAACGUACCUGAUCCUGUUCAAUGGAUGCUGCUCACGUUGCUCUGACUCUGAAACUCAACCUUUUCAAGCUUUUGCAUUUACUUGCAAAGGCUUGUUACUAAGCUUUCGGGAGGACAAUCUUUUUUGACUUUCCGUGGUCAUCUUUGGAAUCACCCCCACCCUAAUCUUACAGAAGAUAACUCUCCUCUCUCACACACUAAAGGUCUCUGCCCUUGGACUCAUUUUCUGGUAGAUCCCUGCUCUCACCUUAUCCAGGAGUUAGCUUCCCUGCCCACUUCCUCUCCUUCCAUCACAACACUGGCCGACUUGGCAUCCUCGAUUGCUCUGGCAGUGGUGUGGGGAUAAGAUAGUCACUAAGUCCAAAUUUUUUCCAUUAGAAAGCUCCUAUUUUCCUCAAACCUCUCACCAAAUAUUUGGGGGAGUGUUCAGGGUAUUUGUCCUUUUACCCUGCUGAACCAUAUGAAUAAUUAUAAGGAUGAAUAUAAAUUAUUUCCAUUACUGAAAAUUGCAUUCAAGAUUUUUAUAGGGCCCACCAAAACUGACUUUUAUUCUGACAUUGUUCUUUUUUCAAGAACCCUGAUGGAGCUUUGUGGCUCUUGUAAAUGGGCUUUGAGAAUGCUAAGCAGAUUCUGGUCUCUAGGAGUACUUGGGUACCACAGUAUUAUGUUUAGGGAUGUCUAACAUCCUUAACCUUCAGGAGGAUCGCAAGCCAGACCUGUGUAGGCCAAAUCCACAGUAGAUUGCUCUUGAACUUUGUCCAUAGGGGCAAGGAUCUCUUCAGGAGAUGAUCAUUUGUGGGGUUUUUUUGUUUUUUGUUUUUUGUUUUUUGUUUUUUUUCUCUUUCAAGCCUAAGAAGGUUUAAAUACCAGUUCAUUACCAAUCUGAGCUUUUUCAAAAUGGUUGAUGCCUCACCUCACCCAUCCUAGCCAGUUCCCCUUUGGGGUUUUGUUUUGUUUGUUUUUUGUAGUAGGGAUUGAAUCCAAAGACAGUAAGUAUACCACUAAGUAUAUUCCUGGGCCUUUUUAAUUUUUUAUUCCAAGACAGAUCUCACUAAAUUACAGAAGGUCUUGCUAAGCUCUGGCCUUGAAUUUCCUGCCUCAGCCUUUCCAGUCACUGGGAUUACGGACAUAUACCACAGUGCCCAGCUCCUUUGGGGUUGAUUAGAAAAGUAAACCACAUGUAAGAUAAAUGGCUCAUCAUCUAAGGUUCACAGAUUCAAGAAAAAGGUUGGUUUUGUCUUACAGUACUUCAAGAUCUCAAUUGGGAAUUGGGGAAAUUUGACCUCCCAAUGGAUCUCUGAAUUAAAAUACAAGGCUGCAAUUGAAUCUCCUGCAAGGGAGAGGAAAACUGGACAGAAGUUCCUUAUGUCCAGACCUUCAUGGUCUUGUACCAGGACUCUGGGCUGUAGUCAUGUUCCUUGCCAGAAGCCAGGAAGAAUGUUCUGAGUGAAAAUGUUGUGUGUCAACACAGCAGGCCUGUGGAGCUGGGAGUCCAGCCUCUCCCACGUAAGGGGACCCCCAGUCACUUCUCAGUGCCAUUCAAUCCAAUUGCCCCACCUAUUUGUCCUCAGACAUAUACCUCACUUCCUGGUGGGGCCCCAGAACAACUACCAUGUGUCCACUCUAGGAAGUCUCCAACGCAGAUGGUAUCACUUGGGUAUAUUCCCCUUUCUAUAGUUUAGACUUGAUGCAAACAAAAACUAAUGAUGAUCUGAUGGGAUUGAGGCAAAUUGAUUAGUUACAGGUGCUGUGACCUUUAAUCUUGCCUGGGGUGACCUGUUUUUAGUGUUGUCCGCCUACUGUACCCUAGAGGAGAAGGUUCAUGCCUGGGGCAAGGCUCAGGCUUAUGCUGAAGGUGUAGUGACCCUGGAUUUCAGUCAGGGAGUAGGAACUACUGCAGGAUACACCCAGGAUCCUAACUGGAUUGGCAGCCAGGGUAUACCACCCUGUUUCAGUACACAACCACACCAGCCAGGGUCACUCGAGAUGAACUAGGCUGACACGAAAGAAUCACACAGAGUCAGAGAAAUACCUUUUCCUUUGGGUUCUGUGAUGGCUCCUCUGACCCAGCUCCCACAUAGGUGGCAAGACAGCAUGCCUCGAACCCAGGGUUUAUUGUAGGAGGCUGUUCCAUGGAAUAUUCUAUCCCCAAAAGGGCAAAGGGGUAGGAUUACAAAGGAACAGGUGAGUGUAACUCAACCCCGGAGGGUGACACCUACUCCUGGAGCAUGCCUUGUUAUCCAAGCUGGGGUAACGCCCCCCCAAGUUACUGUGACCUGGCACUGUCGUCCAGACUGAAGGUAAUAAUUGUUCAGUGGCUUGGGACAUCAGGACUUAAAGGCAUCUGUAUCCAAGACAGCUCCCAACACCAACCUUUCUCAUCGAAUCACAUGACAUUUAAUUAAAGGAAUGAAAAUGUGCAUGAGCAAACAAAUAAAUAAUGAAAAGGUCACAGAAAUAACUUGGGAAAGGGAUGACAUUCAUUGCCAGUCUCCUGAUUCUAUCAGCACUAAAACCAAAUGGGGAAUAUUCUACUCCAAGGUUUUCCUUCAAUUAAGGAGGCUGUUAUCCCACUCCAUCCCACAGUCCCAAACCUAUACACUGAUUUGACUUGUUUACCAGUAGGCCUGGAUGAUUCAAGUGUCUCCUUGACCUCAACAAUAGUAAAACCACCUUUCUUAUUCCAUUAUACUCUGACUCGAAAUACCUGUUUGCUUUGAGUGGACUGACCCUUCUCCAGCAGAAACCACUAGAUACACUUAGGUGGUGCUGCUUCAGGUACUCAAGCACAAUUCCCACCUAUUUAGAAAUGGCCUAACAAGAGAACUGCAGCUUACUAAGUAAUAGAAAUGGAGCUCUUCGAUAAUUAUCUCCUUAUCUGCAUCCCUACAAAAAUUGCUGUCAGUUCUUAGUUUCUUUUGUACCAGGGAUGGUUAACCACUGAGCCACAUCCCCAGCAUUUUAAUAUUUUAUGUAGAGUCAGGGUCUUGCUGAGUUACAUAGGGCCUUGCUAAGUUGCUGAGGCUGGCCUUGAACCCAUGAUCCUCUGCCUCAGCCUCCUGAGCCACUGGAAUUACAGGCAUGUGCCACCAUGCCUGGCAGUUCUUAAUUUCUUAGGGGUCCCGGUGUACUGGUGUCUCCACAAAAUCCCCAACUCUCCCAGCAAAAACUAAGAUAUGUAGGCCAUAUCCUAACUCCACAGGAAAUAACUCUUCACCCCUGAGUCCUUUAAAUGGUAGAACUACUCCACACCAAGAGAAAACUCAGAGCCUUCCUAGAAAUGACCGGAUUUUGUAGAAGGUAGAUCCCUGGUUUUGAACUUGGCCAAGCUACUCUGAGGUUACUCUGGGUCCCAACUGUACUGCUGGGCUGGACAGGGAAAUGGAGUUCAAAACUUAACUGCUUUCUGUUGCAGCUGGGGGGAUCCUGACUUGGAUGAACCCUUUCUCUCAUACAUACCUCGACCUGUAACUUAAUUUUCUAAUCAGUUCGAUUCUGCAUCCCGUGCAUGCCUCAAUGCCUAUGUACCAUGGUCACCACAGGACUUCUGGUGGAAAAGGUCAUUAAACUAACCCUGGGAUACACACUGGAGGUUCAGACCCCUGACUGGAUGAUGACUGUCCAAGCCCCAGGCGUCCUAUUGGAAUCCCCUGUGGUUUUUCCUAAUGUUUGCCUAACUGAAAACCUGGCAACCCUGGUUCCCUCCCCAGAGGAAGAAGAUGACUUCAUUCAUCCCUGUAUGGAGACCCCAGAAAAGGUUCACCCUAGAAGGCCUUGCUUCUGGGAUGGAACCAACAUUUGACCAACUCUGAUGUGGACUGGUUGACACAGGGAAAUAUUCCUUGGGGGAGGGAGCAGGAGGGCAGACUGUGCCACUCCAUCCCAGAAGCAAGACCUCUUCCCCAGGCUCCUCAACAAAACUGAAAUAACCAGCUUUCCUGCGGCUGAGUCAGAAAUCUACACUGACUGUAGGUGUGCAUUCCUAGGUCUUCAUGCUCACAUGACAAUAUAGAAGGAACGGGGACUCCUGACAGGAGGGGGAAAAAAAACCCAGUUGAACAUAAAAACAUGGAUCUGAAACUGUCCCCCUCCUGGAAGCAGUAUGGUUACUCAGGCAGUGUCCAUGCAGGUCAGGGGACCCCCAAGAUGGUGGUUCACACAGAAUGCAGGGAGUACAUUUAUAGAUCCCAGUGCUUCAGAAAUGGCCUAAUGCCCGUGGCCCCAAUCUUGCGUGCAUCCUGCUCUUAGUCAAAGAUGGAGGAGGGAUGGGCAAACAAUGGGGACAGAAGCAGCAGAAGAUGGCUGGGGGACUAAAGAGAUCAUAAGACAUGACUUGUUGCUUAGGGAGGCACUGAUGACUUUGGUCACUCAGACCUUUUUGUGGGGAAAGAUGUCACCUCUUCCAUUCAAGAUGCUAUAAGAGUUUGUUCCACACCUGUGUAAUACCAGCAGAGUCGGGGUGUGGGUGACCAAACCACCCCCUUUACCUAACCUCUGCAGGAAUGAGGUGCAUUCCCCAUUUCCCUCCCCCUUGGUAAGGAUGUGAACACCUUCUUGGUUUUGCUGAUAACCUUUUCUGGGUGAAUAGCAGCAUACCCCACCUGAACCCAAAAGGCCCAACAGGUCACUAGAGCUCUAUGAAAGGAAACUAUCCUCAGGUUGGAUCCCUGGGUCACUCCAGAGUGAUCCUGGGCCUCUAUCUCCUGGGUGAUGCAGGAGACCUAAUGGGCAUUGAGCACCUCUUACAUCUUUACACCCUUACCUCAAUUGUCAGACGAGUGGAAAGGGACAAUCUACUGAUUAAAAUCACCUUGAAAGAAACCCCCAAACCCUUAGGACAACUUUGGCCUAUUGGGCUGUGAAUAAUCAGAGUGGCCCCCCAAAACUUCUCUCCAGCUGAGCCAUUGUGAAAUGCUGUAUGGGAGGCCAUUUGUGACUUAGACCCUGUCACUGAUGCUAAGAUACAAGAAGCUGUCAGAUAUAAAAUCAAUUUGAAAGAAGUGCAAAAGGCCCUUUGGAGUUCAGAAAUAAAGUCCACUCAGUUUCUGACUCCAGCUCUGCUGUACCACAAAUUCAACCAAGGGAUGUCAUUGUUUUAAAGAUUUGGAAAAGGAACUCACACACCAGCCUGUUAAGUAAAUGAACUUGUGACACCUCAGCGGCUCCUAUGAUAAGACAGAAGCUGUUCCUGAACACAGGCUUGUGUGAUUACCUGGGAAAAUGUUUUUUUUUGUGACACAGGCACAAAACCUUGGAGGCUUCUAUGACAUGGAAACCAUAACACAUUAUUGAAAAGAGGUGUCUCAAACAUGGGGAGUAGGAUGUAUCUUCUCUUCAGCUUGACAAAAUACACAUUUUCACCAAUGACCACUGAGAUACCAUCUCUAUGCUACACAGGAACUGGACAAGAGAGGUCCAAGUCUAACUGUAGCUGGGGAAUCACCUGAAUUAAAUCACUUUCUGGAUUGAUGACACCUCAGAAACCACAAGAGACAUUGCCAUCAAAACUGGACAAGACAUUCAAUUGCUACCAAAUUCCAUGGUCUCGUUAACUCAUCUGGUGUUACAAAAUAAGAGAUUAUUUUUUGCCUCAGGAAGGUGGAUUUGGGCUCUGGCAAGUACCACCUGCUGUUUUCAUGUCAGUGUGUCUGAACCCAGAAACCAGUGCUGAUAGCUGAUAAGACUUUACAAAGUAAAUCUUUGUAAAUACUUGGCUUACAACUGCUUCCCCAGGCAGUGCUGGGCUCUAUGCCAAACUAUGAGGCUUCCUUGACUAGCUUCACCUGGCUCUUACCAUGAUUAGGAUAUUUGGUUGCUAUAUUUCUCCUACUUUGGGCUCUGAUCUUCAUCUCCUGGUAAAAUAUGUCUCUUGGAGACAGAAACUUGAGAUUAAGAAAAUGCUGGGUCAAGACUUAGGCUUCCCUACACCAGACGCUCCACCCUCACCCCACCCCAAAGCUGCCAGCAUCCCCUCCACCGAGUCCAGGCAAUCGGACACCUUUGGUUCCUGGCUAGGCAGGGAUAUUGUCCUACUCCAGCUGAGGCAUCUCUGGAAGAUGGACCAUCCCCCUUUAUCAAAUCCUAAAUAAGAUAUCAGAGUCUCUGGAGAAGGGAACGAAUGAGACAGGAAACAAGGAAGUAGGUGCAGGCACAGAGUCUUGCUCAGUGGGCAGUUACUCGACAACAGAAUUUCCAUUGGCAUAAGGCUUCCUGCCAGAUUCUAAAUAUGGGGAGUAGUUGGGAAUCUUGCUGGCAUCAGGCCUCCUGUUCAUGCACAGGUAUCCCACCUGCAUUAGUUUGGAAAAGACAAUAGUCUCCCUAGCCACAAGGGACCACACUUUGAGCAAUGUGUACCUUGAGCAAGCCUUCAAUUGCUUUUCCGGGAGGUGCACUAAGAAGAAAGCUGACCUCUACAUUUUGCUUAUUAUGACUUGUUACCAUAUGUCCUCCCACACCCCUUAGCUGCAUAAUUACAUGCUAAUGAUGUUGAGUGGGGUUCCAUAAGGGCCACCCUAUUCUGAGGCACUGCAUCCAUAAUCAACCCUACUUGUGAAUAUUAAAAUGAAGAUCAACCCUAAAUUUCAUAAGGAGACAGAAAUAGAGACCACCCAUAGGCAACCAGAAAAGGGUCUCAGAAUAAAAGGAGGAAGAGACCAUGCCAUCCUAGCCUGGGGGAUGUAUUGUUGCUGCCCUUGACAGCUUCAACUGCAACAGCUCAUCCUGAGUUCCUCCUCCCGCUAUGCCUAACAACAUAAAUCACAUAAUACCUUCUCUACAUCACUUUCUCUAGUGCCAGCAAACCCUCACCCCAACCUUUAUGCUAGGAAAGGCUUGAAAACUAUUGUCUCUGUGUUUGUUGAAGAAGACAAAAUAGAGUUGAUGAGCCCCCUUUUAAAUCCUGUAUUUUUAUGUCAUCUAACCAGUCUCCUAUAGGGACAGAUCAAGAUCAUAACACCCUAGACAACAGCCACCCAUUGGCUUCCCUCCCUCUUUGGGAGCUCUGCCCAAUGAACUUGUUGCUUUGCUCUCAAUCCGUUCUGUCCAUAGAUUUCAUUCUUAGAAUUCAUGAGACAACCCAGACCCCUACUCUGUGUUACAAUAGUCCGCAGUCUAACUGUUGAGCUGCUCAGCUUUUGAAUAAACCCACUCGCAGCUUGGAAUAUGUAUUUUUCACUUUGCAAUAAAGCAUUUCCUUUCUUCCUA